UACAGAGGGUGCAAGCGUUAAUCGGAAUUACUGGGCGUAAAGCGUGCGUAGGUGGUUUGUUAAGUCUGUUGUGAAAGCCCCGGGCUCAACCUGGGAAUGGCAAUGGAUACUGGCAAGCUAGAGUGCGGUAGAGGGUAGUGGAAUUCCCGGUGUAGCGGUGAAAUGCGUAGAGAUCGGGAGGAACACCAGUGGCGAAGGCGGGUCUCUGGGCCGAUACUGACGCUGAGGAGCGAAAGCGUGGGGAGCGAACAGG
rnacentral:rRNA from 1 species